GCUGUUGUUUCUCCAAGACGUUUCCACUUCACAAUAACAAUUGACCGAGUAGCUCUAGACAAACUGACUUGUUGGAGAAUGUGGAACCCUAUGACAGUGCCCCGUUGAAAGUAACUGAGCUCUUCAGUAAGGCCAUUCUACUGCGAAUGUUUGUCUAUGGAGAUUGAAUGGCUGUGUGCUCGAUUUUAAACACCUGUCAGCAACAGGUGUGGCUGAAAUAGACAAAUCCACAUAUACUUGUGUGUGUGUGUAUAUAUAUAUAUAUAUAUAUAUGAGUGUCUGUGAAAGAGUGACAAAAUUACAAAACCAAUGGAGGCCCCCCUGGAGGUCAGGGCCCUGGCUCAACUACCUUACCUAGCAAUCUUAAAAUGUUUUGCUGACAUGGUCUCAUUGAGCGACUGUCAUAAGUGGGAAACUACUGAUACACAACAAAAUGUCAAAAUUGCACCUGGUGUAUUCUACUUUUCAAAAGUGAGUUGAGACCCAACAGUUCCUUGAAAAAGAAAAGGGCAGCGCGUAGUCUGCCUAUAGGAAGAGGCGAAUCCAAGUCUGUCGUACCUGCUGCACAUAAACAUUUUGGGGGAAUAAUCUUCAAAUUAACACUAAUAAUUCAACAAAUGGAAUCAGAUCUACUCAGUUAAGCCAAUGUAAAGGUGUGUGAACCAAAGUCAAAGUAUAACACUGGCCAAAGCUGUUGUUACACUGAAAUAAACCCAACUUCAUGAGGGAAGCACACAUGGCAAAUAUAAAAAGCAUUUAAACAUAAAACUGUUUAUUUUAACAAGUGUUGUGUUUCUGAACAUCAUUUUAAACAACUUAUUCAGCUCUGCUUCCCUCAGCUGGUCGAACUGAAAACUAAUACAGCGCCUCCUUCUAGACAGUUCUGGAAAGGUCAAUGUUGAACCCCUAAUUGAUCCCCCUUAUUGUGUAAAAUAAACCUUAAUGUUAAUAUAACCAUAGAUUUUUUUUUGCAUUAACCAAAAUAUUUGUUGUUGAAAAAUAGAUAUUUCACAAACUGAGUUCAUAUUAUAAAAUUUAGCCAGUGUUCAACGUGUUGUCUAUUUAUCCAUCUCAGCUCCAUCUUGAUUCGACGGUAGAAGACAAACAACUUAAAACAAACAAGUCUUGUAUAAAUCUGAAUUGGUAACAGAAUUGAACCGGUGAGUUGAAUCGUUGCCAGUUGUCAAUGAGAUUUCAUGACAUCAUACAGGGGAAGUACCUAAAAUCAGCACUUAUACAAUGGAUGGGAUACUGUUGGUUUAAGACAGCUAUAAAAACAAUAGAACCUAGAGUGUAUAAAACACACAAAACACCUGUCCAUUUAAAACAACAGUGUCUAAAGUGCCACAAAUAACUAUCCUGGUGGAUUUAUGUAUGGUGUGUGGUAAUUAGACCCAGGGAGGUCCUGGUCCUGCCCAGGGACUCCGGGCAGGGCUGUGGCCCAAGUAGGCUCCUCUGUAGUGGGGAGGGCUGGGAGGUAAGGCUGGGCUGUGCCGGGGGGACAGAAAGCCUUCAUGUCCUGGAAAGAAGGGCUGAGGGUGGCAGGGUCUAGACACCAUAACAAAUGGGGGGCUGGGGAGCCUUCUGUACUCCUGUGACUGCACGCCCCUCAUCUUCAUGGGGAAGGGACCAGAGUGGGGAUUGGGUCCAAACCCCUGGGGCAUUGUAUUGUGGGGGUACGGGAGGACCUGGGGUGUAAACUCGUCAGGGUUAGAGUGAACGAAGUGCGGGCCAGGGGUGGUUCUAAACCAAUCAGAAACCACUUGGUGGGGGUCACAGUUUAUUCUGUGGCCCUCUGGGAAUGGCAGGUAGGAGCCAGGGUCAGUCUCAUACUCCUGCGGACCUGAUCUAUAGGUGUCAGGGGUCAGCUGUGUGCCUCCAUAGGCCCAUGCUUCUCUGUACUCAGCCUCACAUAACUGCACCUGCUGCAUAGCUGCUAUGUCACCCAUACGACUGCUCAUCUCUUCUCGGUGAAGGGCUGGCCUUGCAAAUACUGUUGGUGGUAAAAGUCUGAGUUCUCCUCCCUCUCUCCAUCCUUUCCUUCCUCUCUCUCCCCCUCCUCCACCAUGACCUCCACGAUGAGCCCAACUCCAUUCUGAAUUUCAGCUCUGCAUCGCUCCUCUUCCUCCAUCAACUGACGGUCAGUUAGCUCCUCUCCUGUAGCAUACCAACAGUCAGUUGUCACUUCUGUUGUAAAAGACUGAUUGUCAGUUGAUCGUUCUCCUGUUUGGUACAUUUUGUCAUUUGACCUGCUUCCUGUGGAAAACCCACUGUCUGUUAUCCUCUCUCCAGUAGAGUACAGACUGUCAGUUGUCCUGUCAUCCUCUGCAAGCCUCUGUGCCCCAGAAUGACACUCAUUCCCCCUCUCCUCCUCCUGUUCUUCUUCCAUUAGAGGAGUGUCUGUCAAGCUCUCCUUCAAGAGACAGCCGGUAGUGAAGAGAAUCGGCCCGGCAACAGACGCUGUGUCAGUGAUGUCUCUGGCACAGGCUAGACCGGGGUAAAUACUGCCUUGUCGGUUGUUCUGCCCCACUCGGACAUGGAACUUUGUGUCAGUGAGUCGGUUAUUUUCUGAAUACAGAUGGUCAGUUCGGUCCUGCUCUCUCCUGAGGUAAACCAGGUCAGUUGUGUUUUUCUCUCUGCCAUCGUACAAAGCAUAGUCGGUGAACCUCUGUUCCCCUCCGAGAUACAGACGGUCUUUCUCUGUGUCCUCGUCUCCCAUAGUCAGCUGCUCAUCAGGUAUGGCUGGGCUCAGUCUCAUAGUUGAAGUGUGUGCAUGUCCCGGAGUGCGUCUCAGUCCCGGAGUGUGUGUAUUUUCAUGUGUGUUUCCGAGUCUUGCGGCAACUGAGUUUCCCGGCUGGCCAAGCAAACGUGAGGGAUCGGGAGAGGGUUGGAGUGAGGCAUCUACGGUGGGGGAGUGAAGGGGUGAGGCGUGUCUGAGGGAGGAGGGGGAGGUUUCCAGGCUGAAGGAGUUCCUCUCCAACAGCCAGGGGCCGUCCGUCAUAGAUAGACUGACCUUGAACACCGGCUCACAGCGAAUCAGCUUUGCAGGAACCCCCUGCAGUCCCGCCCCCUUCCCCUCAGGCCCGCCCAGAGACGUCUGACUUCCAGCUGUGACAUUUGGGGUCGGGGAAAGAGAGGGGUCAUGCUGCCAUGAUGAGGCAGGACGCUUCAGUGAAGCACCUUAAGUGAGAGACAAAAGGAGACGAAGAGAGCGAGGGAGAGAGAAAGAGGCAACGAGAGAGAGAAAGACACUCACAAAGAAGAGGAGUGAUAAAUGUUAGUAAAAAGUUAUACAUUUUUCUAUAGGCAAAAUAAAGACAACCCAAUGUGUGUAGCAGGGAAUGAUUCAGGGGACGUAAAUUAUAAAAAAUGAAUUAAAGGGCCAGUGCUGUCAAAAAUGUGACUUUCCUGCAUUUUAUGUACAUUUCCACACUAGGAGUUGGAAUACUACUGUGAAAAUUAUGAUAAUGCCCUUUUAGUGCAAGAGCUGUUUGAAAAGACCGCCUGACAUUUCAGCCUAUUUUGGUGGAAUGUAGUUUUGGCCUGCCUGGUGACAUCACCAUCCGGUAAAUUAGUUAAUAGACCAAUAAGAAAGAGUUCCAAACCAGUCUACCAAUAACAGCUAGUUUUCAUUUUUUCCCCCUCCCCCACUUAGACCACUCCCAGACAGUCCUAGCAAAAUGACUGCUCUUGCUUGAGAAAUUGCUCUUGCCAAGAAGCUAUUUUUGUAUAUUUUUUUCAAUUUUGAUUGAAAAUCACAGGAAGGUACUUAAUUAUUAUUUGACACGGGGAUGAAAACAGCUGCAUUGGGGCUUUAAACUAACUGUCAAAAGGUUAUUUCCAACACAGUGGUACCCAAUGUCUUUAACCACCCAUUAACAAAGUUGGCGCAUCAUCCCAUGAGGUCAUACACUCACCAACCAGUGGCUUGCUUCCAUGGAGAAACUCCUCCUCCAACGAACUAAGCCGUGAUUGGAUAGAGACACUCUGCUGCAACACAGGGGACUUCUCCGAUUGGCUAGAUGAGUUCCGACUCUGGGUGGUCGGACUCCUCCAUAGGACGGUUCGGUUGUCAAGCUGGACAACAGGCCUCUCUGGUUGGACGGAGAGCCUCCGAGGCGAUAUCACAGUUCUCUGUGACUGGAUGGUAAGAUACUCCGACUGGACUGAUUGCUUCACUGAUUGGCUCUGAAGAUCUCUCUGCUCCCUCCCAGUCCUGGUGGCAUGCAAGAGGAUGAGAGCUGGAGGAGAGAGAGAGAGCGAUAGAUCCGGGGGGUGACACAGCGUGAGUGACGCUGACUGGUACAAAGAGAAAAAAAACUGAUGGAUGAAGGAGAAGAGAGAAUAUGGACUGACCAUCACUCUCGCUGUGUGUUGUCAUAUCGUCAUACAUGGCAGCAUCCAACUUCAGCACCUAACAGAAAGACAGGACAGAGGAGAUUUGCACGCACACACAAACAUCACCCCAGCAUGCACAGACACACACAUACCUGUACGUCCCCGGUUCCUUCUCUCUUCUCUAGUAUUUGAGCCAUCUCCAUAAGAGGCCGGGCCAGCUUGGACAGGUCAGGAGGACUCUGCUUCCACUCUGACACAAAGUGAGGGUGAUGGACUUUCUAUACAACGACAGCCACAGGAGAGAGGAAACACACAACUGGUAUACUGGUAUACAUGCAGCUGUAUUAGGCUAGUUGUAGGUCAGUGAUUGUGUAGAGCAGUGUGUUGCAUUCCCCAACGGGGUGCGCAUUUUUGUUUUUGUCCUAGCACUAAAACACCAGAUUUAAAAAAAUUAAUCAUCAAGCCUUUGAUAAGAACGUGGUGUGUUAAUGCUAGGGCACAAAAAAAAAAUGCACCCCUUUGUGUCCCUGGGACAAGGAUUGAGAAACCCUGGUGUAAGGAGGUGUGGUUUAACCGUACAGGUAUUACAAUAAGACAUCAGAAUCAUUAAGUAGCUUGUGAGUAAAGAGCACAGAUCCAGAAACACACAUCCCACACUCACAAUGUAGUUGUAUCGGUGGAGACUCCCCAUGAUGUGGCUCCUGACAUCAGCCUUACUGAGACGACACACACACACCUCACACAGGUACACCGCCUCAGAGUCCAAGCCGAGUGUCACACACUCUGUCACACAGCCCAGACCUAAAAACACACACACAGGUCUAAAGUACACACAUUGGUCUAAAACACAGACGUAUCAUUUACAAAAACACAGAGUUGUUCCUGACCGAUUAUGGGCUGCAGUCUGUUCUUGUUGUUCAGAUACACCCUAAGGGAGUUGGACAGCAGGCUCUGGCCACACACAGCUACAUGAGGAUGAGAGAAUGAAUGAAUGACAAUGAAAGGAAGAAAGAGAGGAUGCUGAAUGGAUGAAUGAGGAUGAAUAAAGAGCUGAUAACCCAUUGCCUACCAUUGUGUGCUCCUCCAGGCUGCAUAGUGGCAGACCUCAGGUGUCAAACACCCUAACAACUGAGAAAGAGUGAGAGAAAAAAAUGCGACAGAGUAGAUGGAGAAACAGAGAGAGGGAGGCAGGGGGGGAACACUGUGUGCAAACACCACAAGGUGGCUCAACAACACCAGUCACUGCAAAUACGGGGCUGCAAGGGACAGAAGCAGAUAUCAGCUAUGUUUUUUUAAUAAUAUCGAGAUAAUGCAUUAUCUAGCUGCUAUACCACACUCUACAUCUGUCAGUUUGAGUCUUGACUCAAAUGGGUGCUGUAAAGUCAAUCUCAUUUUGCCGUGCUCGAUUGACAAUUGGCAUUGAUCCCAAUCAAUUCCAUAAAAUAGACUCCUGCUCACGUUUAACGGUGCAAUGUUUCACAAUAUCAUAUUUCACACAGUUUGACCAUACAAAUAUAUUGCCAAAUCCAUUCUUACCAACACAAGACUUGAAAAUGAAGCCGACUAUCAGUCUCACCAUUCGUCUUUGUUGAUGAUGCACGAGCAUGUGAAAGGUGAUGUAGCUGAUUGACUGGCGUCACCAAGGUGUGCUGAUAAAAAGUCAAAUAUAACUCAACUACAGGACUCGAUCUAUAUUUGCGAGAUAGAAGAACAUACAAAUCCUUAAUGUAGAUAUAAUAAUUAAUCUCGGCAAGAACAGAGCGCAAUGUGCUAAAAUUGAAGAAUAGGUCAGUAACAACUUGAAUGUGGUCACUGGCCUGUCUGGCUAACGUGUCAGCAAUAUUUUCUUCCAAAUGGUUUAGCAAAACGAAAGUGGCUAGCCAAUAGCCAAGAAACAAAACUGGAGUGUCAGGAUAACAACAUUCGACAAGCUACCAAAUCAAGGCUCGUAUGAAAACUGAAGUAUAAAUGUCACUCUCGCCAAGCUAUCGUUAACAAUCAAAUGUGUGCGAAGGAAACUCCGACAGAACUUAAAUUACAUGAACGCUAGCUAGCCAGCAAGCAACUAGCUAGCCAGCAAGUUAAAAAAAAGUUAUCCAUAUGGCUAAUUAACAUAUAACAAUAGAAUGACCUACCGGUCUGUACUCCACGUCAGGGGAAAUGGUGUGUUUGAUCUGUCUUUCUGAAAUAAAUUGUUAAAAGAGAUUACUGACACGGAUUAUCAACUCGACGACCGCACUGCGUAAAGCAUGAGGUCAGAUACAGCGGGAGAAACUCAAGAGUACGGAACCAAAGAGGGGAAAUCUUUGAAGAGCAAUGUGAGCUCAAAAAGUGUACAUUAUAUUGUCCUGCAUGACAUGAAGUUGGCUAUGAAACACUAAAGAACAAAACAGCCAUAAAGAUAAUGUUGCUGUAUGAAGAGUUCCCGGUCUGUGUAAUGUCACCAUCAACUGAACAUACAAAACCCUCUGCCAGUCAAACGUGGACUGCCAUCUGGAAAGAUGCCUUCCAAGUUACCAUCCUCAGUGAGCUGUCUGCAAUUCUAGCAGACAUGCUCUCUCUGGCUUUACUCAGGAGCUAAUGAAUCUUGAACAGCUUCCUUUUCUCACCUCCACAGUCUUAAUCUUUUAUCCUGUUCAAGAGUUAUACAUUUGUCUAUUGACAUAGUGUUCUAAUUUUAUUCAAUGUAUGGUAAUUGAUUGUAUUCAUCAUACUAAAUCUAUUAGAAUGAGGGUGUGUGUAAUUCUUAGUGUCCUUUUCGAGUCUCAAAGAAUUCGAUUUAAAU
ensembl:lncRNA